CCUAUACUCCCUCCGUCCGGAAUUACUUGUCAUCAAAAUGGAUGAAAAUGGAUGUAUCUACAACUAAAAUACAUCUAGAUACAUCCAUUUCAAUGACAAGUAUUUCCGGACGGAGGGAGUAUUUA
rnacentral:pre_miRNA from 1 species